CUUGAUGUGUAGGAUAGGUGGGAGGCUUUGAAGUGUGGACGCCAGUCUGCAUGGAGCCGACCUUGAAAUACCACCCUUUAAUGUUUGAUGUUCUAACGUGGACCCGUAAUCCGGGUUGCGGACAGUGUCUGGUGGGUAGUUUGACUGGGGCGGUCUCCUCCUAAAGAGUAACGGAGGAGCACGAAGGUUGGCUAAUCCUGGUCGGACAUCAGGAGGUUAGUGCAAUGGCAUAAGCCAGCUUGACUGCGAGCGUGACGGCGCGAGCAGGUGCGAAAGCAGGUCAUAGUGAUCCGGUGGUUCUGAAUGGAAGGGCCAUCGCUCAACGGAUAAAAGGUACUCCGGGGAUAACAGGCUGAUACCGCCCAAGAGUUCAUAUCGACGGCGGUGUUUGGCACCUCGAUGUCGGCUCAUCACAUCCUGGGGCUGAAGUAGGUCCCAAGGGUAUGGCUGUUCGCCAUUUAAAGUGGUACGCGAGCUGGGUUUAGAACGUCGUGAGACAGUUCGGUCCCUAUCUGCCGUGGGCGCUGGAGAACUGAGGGGGGCUGCUCCUAGUACGAGAGGACCGGAGUGGACGCAUCACUGGUGUUCGGGUUGUCAUGCCAAUGGCACUGCCCGGUAGCUAAAUGCGGAAGAGAUAAGUGCUGAAAGCAUCUAAGCACGAAACUUGCCCCGAGAUGAGUUCUCCCUGAGACUUAGAGUCUCCUGAAGGAACGUUGAAGACGACGACGUUGAUAGGCCGGGUGUGUAAGCGCAGCGAUGCGUUGAGCUAACCGGUACUAAUGAACCGUGAGGCUUAACCUUACA
rnacentral:rRNA from 1 species